UUGCAAUUGUUGGUCUUCAACGAGGAAUUCCUAGUAAGCGCGAGUCAUCAGCUCGCGUUGACUACGUCCCUGCCUUUUGUACACACCAUCCGUCACUACUACCGAUUGAAUGGUCGGUGAAGUGUUCGGAUCUCGGCGACGUGGGCGGUUCGCUGCCCGCGACGUUGCGAGAAGUCCACGGAACCUUAUCAUUUAGAGGAAGGAGAAGUCGUAACAAGGUUUCCGUAGGUGAACUUGCGGAAGGAUCAUUG
rnacentral:ncRNA from 1 species